AUUGAACGCUGGCGGCAGGCUUAACACAUGCAAGUCGAGCGAGCGGAGGACGGGUGAGUAAUGUCUGGGAAACUGGUUGAUGGAGGGGGAUAAGUAGUGGAAACGGUAGCUAAUACCGCAUACAAUCAGAUGAGCACAGCUGGGAUUAGCUAGUAGGUGGGUUAAUGGCUCACCUAGGCGACGAUCCCUAGCUGGUCUGAGAGGAGGACCAGCCACACUGUAACUGAGACACGGUCCAGACUCCUACGGGAGGCAGCAGUGGGGAAUAUUGCACAAUGGGCGCAAGCCUGAUGCAGCCAUGCCGCGUGUGUGAAGAAGGCCUUCGGGUUGUAAAGCACUUUCAGCGAGGAGGCGUUACUCGCAGAAGAAGCACCGGCUAACUCCGUGCCAGCAGCCGCGGUAAUAC
rnacentral:rRNA from 1 species